rnacentral:lncRNA from 1 species
GUUGACAUGUCAUCACUUCAUUUUUUUGCGCCUGCGCAUAAAUCUGAGAAGCAAACCACAUUUGUUCCGGACCUGGGAUGCCUUCCGGACCUGGGAUGCCUGCCUUCUGAUGGAGAUAAUCAAAGAGCGUCUACGCUACAGGAAGAAGUCACAAUAGCUGUACCAGGAAGACUGCAGAGAGCGUCAUGGCUGCCACGUGAACAGUCUAGUUAACAACCUUGUUUAUAACAUAAGUGUCAUAGAGUGGCAGAAUGCAAAAGGGUUUUAAGUCACACCACAGACACAGUAAAAGGGAGAGAGGUUCAGGAGAGAUAUAUAGUAAAAACAGUUUGUCUACACAGUCAUCGGAGGACACAAAUGCCCAGGGAUGUUUUCUCCUUUGAGUGAUCUACCCAUUGACCCAGUGCUUCUCAAACAGAAAGGUUAAUGCUGGUGCCUGCAGAUAAAUUGCACUGAGUAUCCUGUGAAUGAGAUUUUCAUGACAGCACAUCAACUGUAAUUAC